UUUCGGACUCAGCCCACUUGCACCCAAGUGAAUAAACAGUGUUAUUGCCCACACAAAGCCUGUCUGUUGGUCUCUUCACAUAGAUGUGCUUGACAUUUGGUGCCAUGACUCAGAUCGGGGGACCUCCCUUGGGAGAUCAAUCCCCUGUCCUCCUGCUACAUUUGGUGCCGUGACUUGGAUCAGGGGACCUCCCUCGGGAGAUCAAUCCCCUGUCUUCCUGCUCUUUGCUCUGUGAGAAAAUCCACCUAUGACGUCAGGUUCUCAGACCAGCCCAAGAAACACCUCACCAAUUUUAAAUUGGGGACCCACUGGAAAUCAGACUGCCCAGAUCACCCGGCAACCACUCCCAGAACCCCUAAAGCUCUGGCCCAAGGAUCUCUGACUGACUCCUUCCCAGAUCUGCUUGGCUUAGUGACUGAAGACUGACACUGCCCAAUUGCCUUGGAAAACCCCUGGACCGUCACAGAUGCUGAGCUUCGGGUAACUCUCACAGUGGAGGGUAAGUCCAUCCCCUUUUUAAUAGAUACAGGGGCUACCCACUCCACAUUACCUUCUUUUCAAGGCCUGUUUCCAUUGCCCCCAUAACUGUUGUGGAUAUUGAUGACCAGGCCUCAAAACCUCUUAUAACCUUUAUAUUUUAUAAAUAAAAAGACAGGAAUGUCAGGCCUCUGAGCUGAAACUCAGCCAUUAUAACUUCUGUGACCUGCACAUACACAUCCAGGUGGCCUGCAGGAGCCAAGAAGUCUGGAGCAGCCAAAAAAUCACAAAGAUGUAAAACAACCAGUUCCUGCCUUAACUGAUUAACCAAAAUUACAACAUUUUACCAUUGUGACUUGUCCCUGCCCUACCUUAGCUGAUCAAUCAACUUUGCAACAUUCUUCUUUUGGACAAUGAGUCUUAUGAUCUCCCCACCAUGUACCUUGUGACCCCCCCUCUGCUAACAAUAGAUAACCACCUUUUACUGUAAUUUUCCAUUACCUACCCAACUCCUAUAAAGCAAACCCUUCCCCAUCUCCCUUCACUGACUCUCUUUUCAGACUGAGCCCACUUGCACCCAAGUGAAUAAACAGUCUUAUUGCUCACACAAAGCCUGUUUGUUGGUCUCUUCACAUGGACGCGCUUGACAUAGGUUGCUGGGUACAUAGCACUGAGCAACCGGUACUUUAGUUAAAUGUCAGAGUCAGGGUUAAGAUCAAUAAAAGUUACAAUACAGUAACACUUGCCUAGACACAGUGGGAAAUCUUGUUUAUGAUGAUUUCCAGAUGAGAA
rnacentral:lncRNA from 1 species